CUUUUGCUCUUCAUAUCCAGGUAUCUCAAGCUGUCCAUGCAAACAGGUGCGCUUGAGUAGGGAUGAUAUGCAUUCACUUAAUGAAGUAAUAGCAGGGCCAUAAGCAGUCAGCUGAGCAUGUAGACCUUCAUUUUGACUUGCCAACAAAUUUGCUCUCUCUCUCAGAAGCUUGAUAUCAGCAUCUUUGGUAGUGCUUUCAUUUUUAAAAGUCUCACAUGCUUCAGUGAGCUGAUGAAGCUUCUCUUCAUAGAGAAUUUGGUAGAGCUUGGAAACCUCUAGUUCAACAAACAAAUCUGAAGCAUGUGCCUCCCACAUUUCAAUAUCAUCCCUUGCCAUUUCGAGCUCAGAGAGCAGACUUUCCUCUCUAACUUUUGUCUUUUGAUGAUCUUCAUGAAGUUGCUGUAGUUCCAUUUCCUUCUGAAUUAAAAUCUCACCCAAUUUCCUCUCCAUUAAGUUCAAUCUUUUCCUAAGAUCAUCAUUAUCAUUAUUUACUUCAUCUAGUUCUUCAGCCAGUGCU
rnacentral:lncRNA from 1 species